ACCAAACCCAGUCUCACUCCUCAACAAAAGUGUCAUAAAAUAACUUCUCCAUAUGCAUCAGCCAUUUCUCAACCACCCAAUGAUCUCUACCUUUUCCCCGUCAAAGAUGCGAGGAUUGCACAUUCGAAAUUCAUUCAACUACUCCAUCAUAUGCUCUCGCUCCUCGCUCGCCACCAUCUCUGGAAACACUAUCCCUGCAGCAACCACAGGCACUGG
rnacentral:lncRNA from 1 species